UAGGGAAUCUUCCACAAUGGGCGAAAGCCUGAUGGAGCAACGCCGCGUGUGUGAUGAAGGGUUUCGGCUCGUAAAACACUGUUGUAAGAGAAGAAUGACAUUGAGAGUAACUGUUCAAUGUGUGACGGUAUCUUACAGAAAGGACGGCUAAAUACGUGCCAG
rnacentral:rRNA from 1 species